CCUACGGGGGGCAGCAGUGAGGAAUAUUGGUCAAUGGCCGGAAGGCUGAACCAGCCAAGCCGCGUGAGGGAGGAAGGCGCAGAGCGUCGCAGACCUCUUUUGCCGGGGGACAAAAGGCCGGACUCGUCCGGUCCUGAGGGUAACCGGAGAAAAAGCAUCGGCUAACUCCGUGCCAGCAGCCGCGGUAAUACGGGGGAUGCGAGCGUUAUCCGGAUUCAGUGGGUUUAAAGGGUGCGCAGGCGGGCCUUUAAGCCAGCGGUGAAAUCGCGGGGCUCAACCCCGGCGAGCCGUCGGAACUGGGGGCCUUGAGUGCGGGGGAGGCAUGCGGAAUGCGCGGUGUAGCGGUGAAAUGCAUAGAUAUCGCGCAGAACCCCGAUUGCGAAGGCAGCAUACCGGCGCCCGACUGACGCUGAAGCACGAAAGCGUGGGUAUCGAACAGGAUUAGAUACCCUGGUAGUC
rnacentral:rRNA from 1 species